AGUGAACGCUGGCGGUAGGCCUAACACAUGCAAGUCGAACGGCAGCACAGUAAGAGCUUGCUCUUACGGGUGGCGAGUGGCGGACGGGUGAGGAAUACAUCGGAAUCUACUUUUUCGUGGGGGAUAACGUAGGGAAACUUACGCUAAUACCGCAUAUGACCUACGGGUGAAAGCAGGGGAUCUUCGGACCUUGCGCGAUUGAAUGAGCCGAUGUCGGAUUAGCUAGUUGGCGGGGUAAAGGCCCACCAAGGCGACGAUCCGUAGCUGGUCUGAGAGGAUGAUCAGCCACACUGGAACUGAGACACGGUCCAGACUCCUACGGGAGGCAGCAGUGGGGAAUAUUGGACAAUGGGCGCAAGCCUGAUCCAGCCAUACCGCGUGGGUGAAGAAGGCCUUCGGGUUGUAAGGCCCUUUUGUUGGGAAAGAAAAGCAGCAGGUUAAUACCCCGCUGUUCUGACGGUACCCAAAGAACAAGCACCGGCUAACUUCGUG
rnacentral:rRNA from 1 species